GUGGGGAAUAUUGGACAAUGGGGGGAACCCUGAUCCAGCCAUGCCGCGUGUGUGAAGAAGGCCUUUUGGUUGUAAAGCACUUUAAGCGAGGAGGAGGCUACCGAGAUUAAUACUCUUGGAUAGUGGACGUUACUCGCAGAAUAAGCACCGGCUAACUCUGUGCCAGCAGCCGCGGUAAUACAGAGGGUGCAAGCGUUAAUCGGAUUUACUGGGCGUAAAGCGCGCGUAGGUGGCCAAUUAAGUCAAAUGUGAAAUCCCCGAGCUUAACUUGGGAAUUGCAUUCGAUACUGGGUGGCUAGAGUAUGGGAGAGGAUGGUAGAAUUCCAGGUGUAGCGGUGAAAUGCGUAGAGAUCUGGAGGAAUACCGAUGGCGAAGGCAGCCAUCUGGCCUAAUACUGACACUGAGGUGCGAAAGCAUGGGGAGCAAACAGGAUUAGAUACCCGGGUAGUCC
rnacentral:rRNA from 1 species